rnacentral:rRNA from 1 species
UACAGAGGGUGCGAGCGUUAAUCGGAAUUACUGGGCGUAAAGCGUGCGUAGACGGUAGCGUAAGUCAGAUGUGAAAGCCCCGGGCUCAACCUGGGAACUGCAUUUGAGACUGCUCUGCUCGGGUGCGGAAGAGGGAAGCGGAAUUUCCGGUGUAGCGGUGAAAUGCGUAGAGAUCCGGAAGAACACCGGUGGCGAAGGCGGCCUGCUGGGCAGUAGCUGACACUGAGGCGCGACAGCGUGGGGAGCAAACAGG